UACGUAGGGUGCAAGCGUUGUCCGGAAUUAUUGGGCGUAAAGAGCUCGUAGGCGGUUUGUCGCGUCUGCUGUGAAAACCCGAGGCUCAACCUCGGGCCUGCAGUGGGUACGGGGCAGACUAGAGGUGCGGUAGGGGAGAUUGGAAUUCCUGGUGUAGCGGUGGAAUGCGCAGAUAUCAGGAGGAACACCAGUGGCGAAGGCGGAUCUCUGGGCCGAACUGACUCUGAGGAGCGAAAGCAUGGGGAGCGAACAGGAUUAGAACC
rnacentral:rRNA from 1 species